AAUGUCUCGAGUCUUAACCGGGAACAUACUCUGAGUUGACUGAACUUACUCCCGGACGCGUUUUUGGAACCACAUACCUCGAGUAAGCAAGGUUUGGGGUUAAUCAACCGAGAGUUCAGGGUUUAUCUGACGGUAAGUUAACCAUGCUUUCUGGAAUGCACCCCUGCUCAGCCGUAAACAGAGGGGAAGAAUUGCCACUGGAGCUCCCUGGGAACUGUGCUGUAACUCAAACCUUUCCGUGUCCCGCUGGGGGACGAGGAGCUGAACUUGGUCACAGUCAUGGAGCUGGAAGUUCCUCCGGAGCCAGCGCCACCUCCUCCACCUCUGGAUAUAUUCAUACUGCCU